AUGAAUAUUCACAUGAAAGCAUCACUUUUCUGAUGGAGCUUUUAGGGCUGCAACUAAAAAUGAUUUAGUUAUCGAUUAAUCAGAUUAAAAAAAGGCACAUUCUGCAGACUUUUGCAGUUAUAAAUAACAUUUUCACCUAAAAUGUAAUAACAGCUUUUCUUUAAUGAACACUUGAUCAUUUUUAGCAAAGGACAUAUCUGCAGUGAAAAAGUACUUCUGGCAUCAACAUGUGAAAAGCUCAAACCUUUCUGCUUCAGUAUAAGACUUACCUCGCCAUCAAUUUAUAAUUGAAUACAAAAGGUGAUUAAAAAGUCUUUUUUUUUUUAACAGAAUUUGUAUCAUGAAAUGCAAAUUUUAUUCCUCAAUGCAAAAUGUAUAUAUUUUGGGAUACUUGUGACUUAAUUACUGAUUUAAGAUGUUCUUUCAGCAUUUGACUUUUUUGAGUCUUCUCCAGUUAAUGAUAAAUUAGUUACUAAAUUGGAUGACGAUUACUUCAAUAAUUGAUUCAACACAAUUAAUCCUUCUAGCCCUAAUAACUUUUCAUCUCAUAAAUGCCAUUGUUUUAUAUCAUAGAAAUUAUGAAUGCCUAAUAGUUUUAUUUAUAUUUGGUGUUAAAAGUAGUAAGUGAAUAACUCACUCAAAUAAUAUCUUCUGUAUACAUUUAUGUAAGAAACUCAUUUGUGUCCUUUGAGGUAAAAAUAGUGUUUGUUUGCUUGGGAUUUAAAAAAAAUAAAAUUAAAACUCAGCACCUCCCCCUCUGCUUCCUAUGAUCCACCUUCUGACCCUGAUACCCCCUCCUCAUUUUUUUUUUAUUUUUUUUUGCUCACACACAACCAGAGGCUCCGCCUCACAAGCCUCCCCUCUUAUUUGCUGUCAUGGUUUUGUUGGUUUUCCCCCCCGGUGUGGCAUGCUGGGUGGGACUGUCCCCGCUCGGCUUUCUGAUUCAACAAAGGUUAGAUGUUUUUAAGUCGUGACCAAGCUCAGGUGGCCAGAACUUUGAACUGUGACUGAUUCCCAGACCUGAGGAGUGACUCCUGUAAAAGGAUGAAGUGCAGAUGUUAAGUUGAAGUACAGUAGGUUUUGUGGGCUUGCAGCACCCUGCCUGGGCAUGUAACGCGAUCAAGAUGGACUGUUAUUGCAAACGGAGGCUUUAAAGGCGAGCUGCACGUGAGAGUGAGUGUAUGCAGUGGACUUGGAUGACUUGUCUGCACAGCAUGGGUCAGGCUGUCUGAGUAACGCAGGAUGGAAUGCACCACAGAACACACACACUUAUGCUUUUGUGGCCACACAGUAAAAAUAGGAGAGUAAUUUUUUCGGAGUUAACAUUAUUUUCAUCAAAAAGAGUCAAAUUUAUACAUUAGAGAGUGAAAUCAUUUCAGUUGGUCAAUAGAAUCGGAGUAAAAAAUAGAGGAAAUUAUAUCGGAGUAAAACAAGACCACGCCCACUGAAGUUCCUUAAGUUUCGUUUCUUCCGCCAUCUUGUCAUCCCGCAGUGGAAACGGAGGCGACGGUUAGCUAUGUGCCAGGAGCAUUAUUACAAUGCAGAAGAUGGAAGUGGGUAUUUGGCUUGGAGACUGAAGUUUGUACAGAGGGAAGCUUCUAAUGGACAAAAAAAUGUCCCCAGACUGUCACAAACCCAAACAGGGGGACCAACAACUGAUAAGAGAGACUGUUUGAGAGAAGAAGACUAUCUUCUGACAGAUCGCUUGUGUUCAUAACAGUCUCUUCAUCAGCUGUGUGCUUCAUCAGUGCAAUCACUGAUGAAGCACACAGCUGAUGAAGAGACUGUUAUGAGGAACAUGAAACAGACUUUCAACUCUCGUCAGAAGAUGAUUCAUGACCCAGCAAAGUCAUCUAGUAUCUUUUUGGACUUCCCAAGAUUCCUGGACAUAGGAGGAUUGGUUGAGCAAGAUUUUAUGUUGAUGUUUGGGGAAGCCAUCUCUGCAAAGU